rnacentral:lncRNA from 1 species
UAAUAGACUCAUCUCAAAAAUAAUUUAAAACUAUCAGUGACUAAUAGUCAACCAAAUAUUUCCAAUAUAUUACAUUCACAUCAGUUCUAGAAGUCCCAUUAAAUAUAUCUAUACUAAUUUAUGAUCAUAUAUGAAAUAAAUAAUUGUGAUUUACCCACAUGUUUUUUCCCUCCUCCCUUGUGUGUGGCUCACGUUAGUUUGAAAAUUUUAAAUGUGGCCUUGCAUAAAAAAGGGUUACCCAUCCCUGCUGUAAUUGACCUUGAGACACUUCAAUACUGCUCUAUACCCAAUACCACAUACCAUGCAGUAAAGCAGACUUGGCUG